ACCAUGGCUCAGAUUGAACGCUGGCGGCAGGCCUAACACAUGCAAGUCGAGCGGUCAGGUCCAGCUUGCUGGACGCUGACGAGCGGCGGACGGGUGAGUAAUGCAUAGGAAUCUACCCAGUCGUGGGGGAUAACCUGGGGAAACCCAGGCUAAUACCGCAUACGUCCUACGGGAGAAAGCGGGGGCUCUUCGGACCUCGCGCGAUUGGAUGAGCCUAUGUCGGAUUAGCUGGUUGGUGGGGUAAAGGCUCACCAAGGCGACGAUCCGUAGCUGGUCUGAGAGGAUGAUCAGCCACACUGGGACUGAGACACGGCCCAGACUCCUACGGGAGGCAGCAGUGGGGAAUAUUGGACAAUGGGCGAAAGCCUGAUCCAGCCAUGCCGCGUGUGUGAAGAAGGCUUUCGGGUUGUAAAGGACUUUCAGUGGGGAAGAAGGCUUGUCGGCCAAUACCCGGCAAGAGCGACAUCACCCACAGAAGAAGCACCGGCUAACUCCGUGCCAGCAGCCGCGGUAAUACGGAGGGUGCAUGCGUUAAUCGGAAUUACUGGGCGUAAAGCGCGCGUAGGCGGCUUGUCACGCCGGGUGUGAAAGCCCCGGGCUCAACCUGGGAACGGCAUCCGGAACGGGCAGGCUAGAGUGUAGGAGAGGAAGGUAGAAUUCCCGGUGUAGCGGUGAAAUGCGUAGAGAUCGGGAGGAAUACCAGUGGCGAAGGCGGCCUUCUGGACUGACACUGACGCUGAGGUGCGAAAGCGUGGGUAGCAAACAGGAUUAGAUACCCUGGUAGUCCACGCCGUAAACGAUGUCGACUAGCCGUUGGGUCCCUUGAGGACUUAGUGGCGCAGUUAACGCGAUAAGUCGACCGCCUGGGGAGUACGGCCGCAAGGUUAAAACUCAAAUGAAUUGACGGGGGCCCGCACAAGCGGUGGAGCAUGUGGUUUAAUUCGAUGCAACGCGAAGAACCUUACCUACCCUUGACAUCUUCUGCUAUUCCUAGAGAUAGGAAGUUCCCUUCGGGGACAGAGUGACAGGUGGUGCAUGGUUGUCGUCAGCUCGUGUCGUGAGAUGUUGGGUUAAGUCCCGCAACGAGCGCAACCCUUGAUCUUAGUUGCCAGCAUUAAGUUGGGCACUCUAAGGUGACUGCCGGUGACAAACCGGAGGAAGGUGGGGAUGACGUCAAAUCAUCAUGCCCCUUAUGACCUGGGCUACACACGUGCUACAAUGGAUGGAACAAAGGGAAGCAAAACCGCGAGGUCAAGCAAAUCCCAUAAAACCAUUCUCAGUUCGGAUUGCAGGCUGCAACUCGCCUGCAUGAAGCCGGAAUCGCUAGUAAUCGCGGAUCAGCAUGCCGCGGUGAAUACGUUCCCGGGCCUUGUACACAACGCCCGUCACACCACGAGAGUUGGUAACACCCGAAGUCGGUGAGGUAACCUU
rnacentral:rRNA from 1 species